rnacentral:lncRNA from 1 species
CCCGACCCAGAAGCAGGUCGUCUACGAAUGGUUUAGCGCCAGGUUCCCCACGAACGUGCGGUGCGUGACGGGCGAGGGGGCGGCCGCCUUUCCAGCCGCGCCCCGUUUCCCAGGACGAAGGGCACUCCGCACCGGACCCCGGUCCCGGCGCGCGGCGGGGCACGCGCCCUCCCGCGCGCGCGGGGCGCGUGGAGGGGGGGGCGGCCCGCCGGCGGGGACAGGCGGGGGACCGGCUAUCCGAGGCCAACCGAGGCUCCGCGGCGCUGCCGUAUCGCUCCGCGGCGCUGCCGUAUCGUUCCGCCUGGGCGGGAUUCUGACUUAGAGGCCAACCGAGGCUCCGCGGCGCUGCCGUAUCGUUCCGCCUGGGCGGGAUUCUGACUUAGAGGCGUUCAGUCAUAAUCCCACAGAUGGUAGCUUCGCCCCAUUGGCUCCUCAGCCAAGCACAUACACCAAAUGUCUGAACCUGCGGUUCCUCUCGUACUGAGCAGGAUUACCAUGGCAACAACACAUCAUCAGUAGGGUAAAACUAAC